UCCCUGGUAGCUCAGUUGGUAAAGAAUCUGCCUGCAAUACAGGAUACCUAGGUUUGAUCCCUGGGUGGGGAA
rnacentral:tRNA from 1 species